AGAGUUUGAUCCUGGCUCAGGAUGAACGCUGGCGGCGUGCCUAACACAUGCAAGUCGAGCGAUUCUCUUCGGAGAAGAGCGCCGGACGGGUGAGUAACGCGUGGGUAACCUGCCCUGUACACACGGAUAACAUACCGAAAGGUAUGCUAAUACGAGAUAAUAUACUUUUAUCGCAUGGUAGAAGUAUCAAAGCUCCGGCGGUACAGGAUGGACCCGCGUCUGAUUAGCUAGUUGGUAAGGUAACGGCUUACCAAGGCGACGAUCAGUAGCCGACCUGAGAGGGUGAUCGGCCACAUUGGAACUGAGACACGGUCCAAACUCCUACGGGAGGCAGCAGUGGGGAAUAUUGCACAAUGGGCGAAAGCCUGAUGCAGCAACGCCGCGUGAGCGAUGAAGGCCUUCGGGUCGUAAAGCUCUGUCCUCAAGGAAGAUAAUGACGGUACUUGAGGAGGAAGCCCCGGCUAACUACGUGCCAGCAGCCGCGGUAAUACGUAGGGGGCUAGCGUUAUCCGGAAUUACUGGGCGUAAAGGGUGCGUAGGUGGUUUCUUAAGUCAGAGGUGAAAGGCUACGGCUCAACCGUAGUAAGCCUUUGAAACUGGGAAACUUGAGUGCAGGAGAGGAGAGUGGAAUUCCUAGUGUAGCGGUGAAAUGCGUAGAUAUUAGGAGGAACACCAGUUGCGAAGGCGGCUCUCUGGACUGUAACUGACACUGAGGCACGAAAGCGUGGGGAGCAAACAGGAUUAGAUACCCUGGUAGUCCACGCCGUAAACGAUGAGUACUAGCUGUCGGAGGUUACCCCCUUCGGUGGCGCAGCUAACGCAUUAAGUACUCCGCCUGGGAAGUACGCUCGCAAGAGUGAAACUCAAAGGAAUUGACG
rnacentral:rRNA from 1 species